rnacentral:rRNA from 1 species
GACGAACGCUGGCGGCAUGCCUAAUACAUGCAAGUCGAGCGAACAGAUGAAGUGCUUGCACUUCUGACGUUAGCGGCGAACGGGUGAGUAACACGUAAGGAAUCUACCUAUAAGCGGGGGAUAACAUUCGGAAACGGGUGCUAAUACCGCAUAAUAUCUUCUUCCGCAUGGAAGAAGAUUGAAAGACGGCUCUGCUGUCACUUAUAGGUGACCUUGCGGUGCAUUAGUUAGUUGGUGGGGUAACGGCCUACCAAGACGAUGAUGCAUAGCCGACCUGAGAGGGUGAUCGGCCACAUUGGGACUGAGACACGGCCCAAACUCCUGCGGGAGGCAGCAGUAGGGAAUCUUCCGCAAUGGGCGAAAGCCUGACGGAGCAAUGCCGCGUGAGUGAAGAAGGCCUUCGGGUCGUAAAACUCUGUUAUAAGAGAAGAACAAAUUGUAGAGUAACUGCUACAGUCUUGACGGUAUCUUAUCAGAAAGCCACGGCUAACUACGUGCCAGCCGCCGCUGUAA